rnacentral:rRNA from 1 species
AUACGUAGGUGACAAGCGUUAUCCGGAUUUACUGGGCGUAAAGGGCGUGUAGGCGGUCUUGCAAGUCAGAAGUGAAAUUCCUGAGCUCAACUCGGGCGCUGCUUCUGAAACUGCAGGACUUGAGUGCUGGAGGGGAUAGCGGAAUUCCUAGUGGAGCGGUAAAAUGGGCAGAUAUUAGGAAGAACACCGGUGGCGAAGGCGGCUAUCGGGACAGUAACUGACGCGUAGGAGCGAAAGCGUGGGGAGCAAACAGGAUUAGAUACCCUGGUAGUCCACGCCGUAAACGGUGAAUACUAGGUGUAGGGGGUAUCGACUCCCUCUGUGCCGCAGUUAACACAAUAAGUAUUCCGCCUGGGGAGUACGGCCGCAAGGUUGAAACUUAAAGGAAUUGGCGGGG